ACACAAAUGGUUUGAAUAAAGAAAGGUAUUACACAUGGAUCCCCUCAGUUGAAGGCACUGAUGGGUCUUUCUGAAUUUCUGGUCCUUCUGAAUUUCAAGGGCUCCUGUGACAAGUAGACAUGGCAGUGACUUCACCAUUUUGUUUCUGAGGUAAGAACUGAAAAUGUUUAACCAUGAACCUAUUCCAGGAUACAUGAUGAUCUCACCCCAACUUGAACUCUCUCACUGAUUACUUGAUGACAGUAAAAGAUCUGAUGUUCUGUGUUUUAAGUUACCAUUUAAGUUAAAAAUUGUAAAAGUGUGUCUAACAGCUACCUUCUGUUGCAGGUGCCUGGAUGGAGACUCAAAUAGAAGAUGGUGUCAGAUACAUUGUGUUGUCAAGAUUUUACCAUUAAAGUGUGUUAUAA
ensembl:processed_transcript